rnacentral:pre_miRNA from 1 species
UUCAAGUUGAAUGUUUGCAUUACGGUCUGUCUGUUUCAAGUUGAAUGUUUGCAAACUUGAAACAGACAGACCGUAAUGUAAACAUUCAA